UACGAAGGGGGCUAGCGUUGCUCGGAAUCACUGGGCGUAAAGGGUGCGUAGGCGGGUCUUUAGGUCAGGGGUGAAAUCCUGGAGCUCAACUCCAGAACUGCCUUUGAUACUGAAGAUCUUGAGUUCGGGAGAGGUGAGUGGAACUGCGAGUGUAGAGGUGAAAUUCGUAGAUAUUCGCAAGAACACCAGUGGCGAAGGCGGCCCACUGGCCCGAUACUGACGCUGAGGCACGAAAGCGUGGGGAGCAAACAGG
rnacentral:rRNA from 1 species